rnacentral:hammerhead_ribozyme from 15 species
CAGGCGUCUAAGGCAGGCUCCCACUACAAUGCCUUACUGAUGAGUCCAGUAGUGGGGGUCGGGACGAAACGCAGC